rnacentral:rRNA from 1 species
GACGAACGCUGGCGGCGUGCUUAACACAUGCAAGUCGAACGCUGAAGCUCAGCUUUUGUUGGGUGGAUGAGUGGCGAACGGGUGAGUAACACGUGAGUAACCUGCCCCCUUCUUUGGGAUAACGCUCGGAAACGGGUGCUAAUACUGGAUAUUCACUGGUCUUCGCAUGGGGGUUGGUGGAAAGGGUUUUUCUGGUGGGGGAUGGGCUCGCGGCCUAUCAGCUUGUUGGUGGGGUGAUGGCCUACCAAGGCUUUGACGGGUAGCCGGACUGAGAGGGUGACCGGUCACAUUGGGACUGAGAUACGGCCCAGACUCCUACGGGAGGCAGCAGUGGGGAAUAUUGCACAAUGGGCGCAAGCCUGAUGCAGCGACGCCGCGUGAGGGAUGGAGGCCUUCGGGUUGUGAACCUCUUUCGCUCAUGGUCAAGCCGCAACAAUGGUUGUGGUGAGGGUAGUGGGGAAAGAAGCGCCGGCUAACUACGU